rnacentral:rRNA from 1 species
AGAAUCAACGCUGGCGGCGUGCCUAACACAUGCAAGUCGAACGAGAAAGGGUAGCAAUACCUGAGUAAAGUGGCGCACGGGUGAGUAACACGUGACUAACCUACCUUUUAGUGGGGGAUAACCUAGGGAAACCUGGGCUAAUACCGCAUAAUACCUACGGGUCAAAGCAGCAAUGCGCUGGAAGAGGGGGUCGCGGUCGAUUAGUUAGUUGGCAGGGUAAUGGCCUACCAAGACUGUGAUCGAUA